ACCCCAGUUCCCACAGAACAGAAUAUUUUCAAACUCCAUACGACUAAGAACGAAAAUUCUCAAUUCGCCAUAAAAAUGUUCAAAAAAGUGCUAAAAUCUCUGCCCAACCCCAAUCAAGUGUUGAAAAAUAAACAAAUUCUCCAGCACACAAUUGCCAAGAAGAAAAAGUGUCAGUGCAAGCCCCAAGAGUGUCGCUGUCCCAAACAACCGCAAAAACUGCGGGUGCUGAAGAAACAGCGACUGCCCAUGUUUCUGGAGGGCAUAACAGUUUAAUUAUUGGAAUAUUCUCAUAUUUAAUAUAAGUAAUAUUUUAUAAGAGUGGAAGUAAAUAUAUUGUCGGAAAAUAAAAAAAAA